GGAAGCGUAUCGAAGUGGUCAUAACGGGCCUGACUCGAAAUCAGGUAGCCUUAACGGGCUCGUGGGUUCGAAUCCCACCGCUUCCGCCA
rnacentral:tRNA from 1 species